CAGUAACAUAGGAAAGAAAAAGGAGAUCUGCUGCUGAACAGAGUGAAAUAGUUAAAUGAACAAGAUCAAGACACAAUGAGGAAAGUUUCUGCAAGACAAAUCCAUCAGAUUUAGAGAGCAGCUGCUAAAAUACCAUCGCAAAGCAGCAGGGUGUCUCUGGAGUCCUACAACAUCAAGGUGGAGGAUCCUCCAGAGGCUGCAGCUUCCACUCCCUGCACAAACACAUCCAGUCUGCCAGGCUUUGCAGGACGCAUUAUCCCUGAACAGAGAAGGCUCACAAAUCUUCCGCCAUUACAUUGAUGCUAUUACCUGCUCGCAGCUCAAAAGCAAUCCCCUUUAAAGGGUACAUGCUGAGCAUUUCUCAGUUCCUUCAAUUCACUCCCAGGCCGCGGUGGGAACAAGAAUGAAAAUAUAAACAAGCUCAAACUGUUGCUGAGCUGAACGUCCACUGAGAGUUAACAAGAGCUGGAAUUCCAAA